rnacentral:rRNA from 1 species
UACGUAGGGUGCAAGCGUCAAUCGGAAUUACUGGGCGUAAAGCGUGCGCAGGCGGUUUUGUAAGACUGUCGUGAAAUCCCCGGGCUCAACCUGGGAAUUGCGAUGGUGACUGCAAGGCUAGAGUUUGGCAGAGGGGGGUAGAAUUCCACGUGUAGCAGUGAAAUGCGUAGAGAUGUGGAGGAACACCGAUGGCGAAGGCAGCCCCCUGGGUCAAAACUGACGCUCAUGCACGAAAGCGUGGGGAGCAAACAGG